rnacentral:rRNA from 1 species
UACGGAGGGGGCAAGCGUUGUUCGGAAUUACUGGGCGUAAAGGGCUCGUAGGUGGCCAACUAAGUCAGACGUGAAAUCCCUCAGCUUAACUGGGGAACUGCGUCUGAUACUGGAUGGCUUGAGUUUGGGAGAGGGAUGCGGAAUUCUCGGUGUAGCGGUGAAAUGCGUAGAUAUCAAGAGGAACACCUGCGGCGAAGGCGGGUUGCUGGGCCGACACUGACGCUGAGGCGCGAAAGCCAGGGGAGCGAACGGG